rnacentral:lncRNA from 1 species
CUUGGAAGAGCCCCUAUAAGAAGCUUGUGACUGCAGAAUAUGUCAAUGAGAAAUCAGUAGGCCGACAUGCUACGUCUACAAAGAUUCAGUUGUUUCCUUUUUGGGAAACCCUAAAAGGAGAAUGGCAUAAUUGACCAGUGAAGCUAAAGUAAUUGGUGGAAAUGUUUUCAUCUCCUGGCUACACCAAAUGAACAAAUUCCAACUCUUUAAAAGAAGAGAAAAAUCAAAGUUAUCAUGCCAGGUGAUCUCACCCUGGGGAAAGUGAGGCCUGGGUUAGAUGGGGCCGCAAGAUGUGUCUUCUGGCCAAUGCUGUAUGUUUCUAACUUUCACUAAAGUGAUUCCAGGGGCAGGGGAAGGGAAGAUCUUUUUGCGAAGAACGCUUUCAGCAACACUGUCCCAGGGACUUCCAGCAAGGUCUGGUGCUCAUUAGGAGGCAGUCAAUUUCUGGGAUGCCAGCUGUCUUCUAACAGGCCUGCUCAGCAGUGAGUUCUUUGAUCUUACCACAUUGAGAUGUGUGCAACAAAGGUCAAAACCCAUGUUCAUUCGAGGGAGCAGCUACAUCGAAAAGGCAGCAUAAAUGCCAAAUGGGGGAGGGGCGUUGGGAGGAGUAUAGUGAAUGAAAUACCCCAAUCUACAUGGACAAAUAGAUACUGAAUUUCUGCCUUGCUUUUUCUCCUGUGAGGUAUCAGCCUUCCUUGUUCCUUUCCAACACACUGUAGGUGACCUUUCAUUCCCCCACAGCAGAGGCAGAUGAGGACAAUGGGCAGAAUUGCUCCAUGCUGAGCUUCCAUCUUGUCUUUCACCUAAAGUGACCAAGGGCCCAGUAUUUCUGAUUCGUGAGUCCUUCUAAAGUCAUGGGCAGCAACCUAAGGGAUCUUCUAUUUCGCAGUCCUUCAUUUGACAGAGAAAGAAACUGAGUGAGGACCAAAGAGGUCUUCCUGGAUUAGAACAAUGUUUUCAGAGUCCUAGUCCUUUUUUCAUCACACACAGUAUGUGUGUGUGUGUGUGUGUGUGUAUGUGUGUGUGUGUGUGUGUGCGUGUGUGACAAAUAGAGACAGAGAAAAACAGAGAGAGAAAGAGAGAGAGAAAAGCAGAGACAGAGACAAAGAUGAAGAGAGAGAGAGACAGAGAAUAUUUAUUAGCACUUAUGAUGUAUGUACUUAUUAUGUGUCAGGCACUGUACCAAACACCAGGAAUACAAAUAUAAUUAAGCAAGGCAAUCCAUAUUCUUAAGGAGUUUACAUUUUAAUAGAGGAAAGCCGCUGCACAAAGAGCAGAGAAGCAUAUACCAGAAAGGUGACUGUCCAGCAGGUAGAGGAAAAGUCUAGAGAGUCUGAAAAGAAGCAGGGCUGGGUCUCCUUCUGAAACGAUGGCCAGUGGAGGCAGUUGCCAGUCAGAAGGAGAAUGAGAACCCAGCUGAUUCCCUAUUC